GGCUGUCAGCGGACUGCU
rnacentral:siRNA from 1 species